UGUUGGGUGUGGCUGAGGGGAAUCUAGAACACAGGCAGAGGAGGGAGAGUAUAAAUAUCAACUAAUGCUCAGCACCAAAUGCAGAAGUGGUGAACGCUGCUUGGUCUACCAUCCUCUUGCAUGUGGCAUUGGUUAGAAUUUAGUCAUGUGGACAUACCAAACUGCAAAUGAGGCUGGGAAAUUAAUUGUAGCUGCAUGCCCAGGAGGAAGGAGGUA
rnacentral:lncRNA from 1 species